GCACAGGCUGGGCUGGGCUGGGCUGGGCUGGGCAAGGGAAGGAUGGGUGCGGGGACUCCCUAACCCUCACCUCU
rnacentral:miRNA from 1 species